rnacentral:rRNA from 1 species
UACGUAGGGGGCAAGCGUUGUCCGGAUUUAUUGGGCGUAAAGAGCGUGUAGGCGGUUUGGUAGGUCCGUUGUGAAAACUCGAGGCUCAACCUCGAGACGCCGAUGGAAACCAUCAGACUAGAGUCCGGAAGAGGAGAGUGGAAUUCCUGGUGUAGCGGUGAAAUGCGCAGAUAUCAGGAAGAACACCCGUGGCUAAGGCGGCUCUCUAGUACGGUACUGACGCUGAGACGCGAAAGCGUGGGGAGCGAACGGG